rnacentral:tRNA from 1 species
GCCCGGGUGGCGAAAUUGGCAGACGCACCACCUUGAGGGGGUGGCGGCCUUAUGGCUGUGCUGGUUCGACUCCAGUCCCGGGCA